UCAGGAUGAACGCUGGCGGCGCGCCUAACACAUGCAAGUCGAACGGCACCCAUCUUCGGAUGGAAGCGAGUGGCGAACGGCUGAGUAACACGUGGAGAACCUGCCCCCUCCCCCGGGAUAGCCGUCCGAAAGGACGGGUAAUACCGGAUACCCCGGGGUGCCGCAUGGCACCCCGGCUAAAGCCCCGACGGGAGGGGAUGGCUCCGCGGCCCAUCAGGUAGACGGCGGGGUGACGGCCCACCGUGCCGAAAACGGGUAGCCGGGUUGAGAGACCGACCGGCCAGAUUGGGACUGAGACACGGCCCAGACUCCUACGGGAGGCAGCAGUGGGGAAUCUUGCGCAAUGGGGGGAACCCUGACGCAGCGACGCCGCGUGCGGGACGGAGGCCUUCGGGUCGUAAACCGCUUUCAGCAGGGAAGAGUCAAGACUGUACCUGCAGAAGAAGCCCCGGCUAACUACGUGCCAGCAGCCGCGGUAAUACGUAGGGGGCGAGCGUUAUCCGGAUUCAUUGGGCGUAAAGCGCGCGUAGGCGGCCCGGCAGGCCGGGGGUCGAAGCGGGGGGCUCAACCCCCCGAAGCCCCCGGAACCUCCGCGGCUUGGGUCCGGUAGGGGAGGGUGGAACACCCGGUGUAGCGGUGGAAUGCGCAGAUAUCGGGUGGAACACCGGUGGCGAAGGCGGCCCUCUGGGCCGAGACCGACGCUGAGGCGCGAAAGCUGGGGGAGCGAACAGGAUUAGAUACCCUGGUAGUCCCAGCCGUAAACGAUGGACGCUAGGUGUGGGGGGACGAUCCCCCCGUGCCGCAGCCAACGCAUUAAGCGUCCCGCCUGGGGAGUACGGCCGCAAGGCUAAAACUCAAAUGAAUUGACGGAAGGGCGAA
rnacentral:rRNA from 1 species